UAAAGACGGGUGGGUAGCAACAGUUGCCCGGGUGAGGACGAGGCGCCAUAGUCACGGUAGUCGUGGCGACAAGAACCAAGCAACGAGAAUCAACAACAACAACCAGAAUCAUUAAGAAACAAACUUUAACACCAAAGCCAGGAAUAUUCCAUUGGGAAUUUGAGAGUGGUGGUCUUGGUCCAGCCGUGGCGGUAGUCAUGGCGACCCCAGGCUACACAGAAGAGCUCCAGCCGGCCCCCCAGCCCAACGCUGUCACCAUAGCAACACAAUCAGCCACGCCCUCCCGCUCCACGCCAACCCAGUUCAACCAGUCAGUGUCCAUCGUCUCCACAGCCGGACAGGACAAACUUCCUGCUCAAGCCACGCCCACCAAGGCCCAGAAGACAGUGGUUAUUGCCUCUCCUUCUCAGACUCCGUUUGUUACCCGCGGAGAUCCAGAGUUCUGCCGUUCAGCAGAGUAACGGACAAUGUUCCACACCGCAGUACAUCGUAGUGACCGUUACAGAUGGCUCUCUCCAUUCUAGUGACAGUGUAUCAGACUCCAGUCCUCCAGUAGUAGUGGUUCAGACAGGGGUCUCCACCCAGGUAGUACAGCAGACCACCCAACAGGUACGCUACACACACACCUGACGCACACCAGACACACACCUGACGCACACCAGACACACACCUGAAGCACACCAGACACACACCUGAAGCACA